ACGCCGCGUGAGGGAUGACGGCCUUCGGGUUGUAAACCUCUUUCAGUACCGACGAAGCGAAAGUGACGGUAGGUACAGAAGAAGGACCGGCCAACUACGUGCCAGCAGCCGCGGUAAUACGUAGGGUCCGAGCGUUGUCCGGAAUUAUUGGGCGUAAAGGGCUCGUAGGCGGUUUGUCGCGUCGGGAGUGAAAACAGCGGGCUUAACUCGUUGCUUGCUUCCGAUACGGGCAGACUAGAGGUAUGCAGGGGAGAAUGGAAUUCCUGGUGUAGCGGUGAAAUGCGCAGAUAUCAGGAGGAACACCGGUGGCGAAGGCGGUUCUCUGGGCAUUACCUGACGCUGAGGAGCGAAAGUGUGGGGAGCGAACAGGAUUAGAUACCCUGGUAGUCCACACCGUAAACGUUGGGCGCUAGGUGUGGGGUCCUUUCCACGGAUUCCGUGCCGUAGCUAACGCAUUAAGCGCCCCGCCUGGGGAGUACGGCCGCAAGGCUAAAACUCAAA
rnacentral:rRNA from 1 species